GAUCAUGGCUCAGGACGAACGCUGGCGGCGCGCCUAACACAUGCAAGUCGAACGAGCGAGAGAGAGCUUGCUUUCUCAAGCGAGUGGCGAACGGGUGAGUAACGCGUGAGGAACCUGCCUCAAAGAGGGGAACAACAGUUGGAAACGACUGCUAAUACCGCAUAAGCCCACGGCUCGGCAUCGAGCAGAGGGAAAAGGAGCAAUCCGCUUUGAGAUGGCCUCGCGUCCGAUUAG
rnacentral:rRNA from 1 species